GGUGGUGGGCAAGAGGCCAUGGAUGUGACCACGACCUCCACCAGGAUUGGCAAAUUUGAGGCGAGGUUCUUCCACUUGGCUUUUGAGGAAGAGUUCGGCAGAGUGAAGGGUCACUUUGGUCCUAUCAAUAGCGUCGCUUUCCACCCCGAUGGGAAGAGCUACAGCAGUGGUGGUGAGGAUGGCUACGUUCGCAUCCACUACUUCGAUCCCCAGUACUUCGAGUUUGAAUUUGAGGCUUAACGGGGCGC